UGUCACUCAGGCCUGAGGAGCUGUCCAAUCAGCGGCUCCGCAAGACUUGAGGACGUCACUAGCCGCCGCGCGUCGGUCGCUGCAGGGUCUCCUCGGACCCUUAGGGCCGCAGGGGCCGCUGGGCUCUGUCGCCUGCUCGGUUUCGGGCUCUGUCGCCUGCGCGGGCCGCGGGGCCGUCGGGGGGGACGCCCCGGGGGCCUCCGGAAGCGGAAAUGGUGCCUUCCCGCGUUCCCAAACGCCAGCUUCUCCAGCACUUAUGUAAAGUCCUCAGAUCUGUUCUUAUCUUUUUGGUUGAUAACAAAUGGAAUUCAAGGGAUUCACCUUGAGAAGCGUGCCUGGGAAAAGAAUCUCAGAGAAGGAAAAACUCUGUUCCGUUAUGCGUGCGGGCAGAAAAAUGAACACAAUUCACCCCCAAAAAAUUUUUUUGGUAGAUAAAUUAGUGAAGUACAAAUGUUCACCAAAACAUCAAUUCCUCUCCUUUGCAGGAUGGAGAAUUUCUAUCGGUGGAUAAUUCUGUUCUAUUUCUGUUAUCCAAACUUUGUAAAUUGUUACAUUCUAUGAGAUUACUAGACUUGCAACACCUUGAAGUUUUGACUGUACUUAGUUGCCUAAGAAACUCUUUAUUGCCAUGAAAUAAUAAACCUGUCAUCCUUGUUUUCAAAAAGAAUAGUUAUUUGUGGGUUUUCUUGUUGCGCUAAAUAAAAAGGGGGGGGUGGCUUACAGUUUUCUUCACUCUCUUUAUACAAAACAGUGGGUGAGUGAUUUUGCUGGAUUCUUCAGACACAGAAUUUGUCUCAUUUAGAAUAUUAAUGACAGUCCAA
rnacentral:lncRNA from 1 species